UAGGGAAUCUUCGGCAAUGGACGAAAGUCUGACCGAGCAACGCCGCGUGAGUGAAGAAGGUUUUCGGAUCGUAAAACUCUGUUGUUAGAGAAGAACAAGGACGGUAGUAACUGAACGUUCCCUGACGGUAUCUAACAAGAAAGCCACGGCUAACUACGUGCCAGCAGCCGCGGUAAUACGUAGGUGGCAAGCGUUUUCCGGAUUUAUUGGGCUGAAAGCGAGCGCAGGCGGUUUAUUAAGUCUGAUGUGAAAGCCCCCGGCUCAACCGGGGAGGGUCAUUGGAAUCUGGGUGACUUGAGUGCAGAAGAGGAGGGUGGAAUUCCAUGUGUGGCGGUGAAAUGCGUAGAUAUAUGGAGGAACACCAGUGGCGAAGGCGGCUCUCUGGUCUGUAACUGACGCUGAGGCUCGAAAGCGUGGGGAGCAAACAGG
rnacentral:rRNA from 1 species